AGGAGCCCGGUGAACCGAGAGGUUCACGCCGGGAUCUGUGGGAGCCCCGAGGUGAAAUCCCUCGGGGCCACCCGAC
rnacentral:ncRNA from 1 species